AGACGUCUACAUUAGAUACCCGUGUAGUCCCAGCCGUAAACUAUGCGCGUUAGGUGUAUCGGUGACCACGAGUUACCGAGGUGCCGAAGGGAACCGUGAAACGUGCCGCCUGGGAAGUACGGUCGCAAGGCUGAAACUUAAAGGAAUUGGCGGGGAGCACCACAACAGGUGGAGCCUGCGGUUUAAUUGGACUCAACGCCGGGAAGCUCACCGGAUAGGACAGCAGAAUGAUUGCCGGGCUGAAGACCCUGCAUGACUAGCUG
rnacentral:rRNA from 1 species